rnacentral:misc_RNA from 1 species
AACGCACCUUGCGCUCCUUGGUAUUCCGAGGAGCAUGCCUGUUUGAGUGUCAUUAAUAUCUAUAUCAACCCCCCUUCUCUUGUGUAGGAGUGGUUUGGAUUUGGGGGUUUGCUGGCCUCUUAAAAAAGGUUCAGCUCUCCUGAAAUGCAUUAGCAGAACAAUCCUUGUUCAUUGGCGUGAUAACUAUCUAUGCUAUUGAAUGUGAGGUGCAGUUCAGCUUUCUAACAGUCCUUUGGACAAAUUCAUCAUUAAUGUGACCUCAAAUCAGGUAGGACUACCCGCUGAACUUAA